rnacentral:rRNA from 1 species
UACGGGGGGAGCAAGCGUUGUUCGGAUUUACUGGGCGUAAAGGGCGCGUAGGCGGCCACCGCAAGUCAAUUGUGAAAUCUCCGGGCUUAACUCGGAAAGGUCAACUGAUACUGCGGGGCUAGAGUGCGGAAGGGGCAACUGGAAUUCUCGGUGUAGCGGUGAAAUGCGCAGAUAUCAGGAGGAACACCGGUGGCGAAGGCGGGUCUCUGGGCAGUAACUGACGCUGAGACGCGAAAGCGUGGGGAGCGAACAGG